GUGGCUCAGUUGGUAGAGAAUGGUGUUUGCAACACCAGGGUUGUGGGUUAGAUUCCCACC
rfam:Salmo salar isolate Sally breed double haploid chromosome ssa28, whole genome shotgun sequence.